rnacentral:rRNA from 1 species
CAGUCGCCACUGUAAUACAGAGGGUGCGAGCGUUAAUCGGAUUUACUGGGCGUAAAGCGUGCGUAGGCGGCUUCUUAAGUCGGAUGUGAAAUCCCUGAGCUUAACUUAGGAAUUGCAUUCGAUACUGGGAAGCUAGAGUAUGGGAGAGGAUGGUAGAAUUCCAGGUGUAGCGGUGAAAUGCGUAGAGAUCUGGAGGAAUACCGAUGGCGAAGGCAGCCAUCUGGCCUAAUACUGACGCUGAGGUACGAAAGCAUGGGGAGCAAACAGGAUUAGAGACCCCCGUAGUCCCUGUCUCUUAUAC